rnacentral:rRNA from 1 species
UACGUAGGCAGCAAGCGUUGUUCGGAGUUACUGGGCGUAAAGGGUGUGUAGGCGGUUAUUUAAGUUUGGUGUGAAAUCUCCCGGCUCAACCGGGAGGGUGCGCCGAAUACUGAAUGACUUGGAGUGCGGGAGAGGAAAGUGGAAUUCCUGGUGUAGCGGUGAAACGCGUAGAUAUCAGGAGGAACACCGGUGGUGUAGACGGCUUUCUGGACCGUAACUGACGCUGAGACACGAAAGCGUGGGUAGCAAACAGG